rnacentral:rRNA from 1 species
AUUGAACGCUGGCGGCAUGCCUUACACAUGCAAGUCGAACGGCAGCACGGGUGCUUGCCCCUGGUGGCGAGUGGCGAACGGGUGAGUAAUACAUCGGAACAUGUCCUGUAGUGGGGGAUAGCCCGGCGAAAGCCGGAUUAAUACCGCAUACGAUCUACGGAUGAAAGCGGGGGACCUUCGGGCCUCGCGCUAUAGGGUUGGCCGAUAGCUGAUUAGCUAGUUGGUGGGGUAAAGGCCUACCAAGGCGACGAUCAGUAGCUGGUCUGAGAGGACGACCAGCCACACUGGGACUGAGACACGGCCCAGACUCCUACGGGAGGCAGCAGUGGGGAAUGUUGGACAAUGGGCGAAAGCCUGAUCCAGCAAUGCCGCGUGUGUGAAGAAGGCCUUCGGGUUGUAAAGCACUUUUGUCCGGAAAGAAAUCCUUGGCUCUAAUACAGUCGGGGGAUGACGGUACCGGAAGAAUAAGCACCGGCUAACUACGUG